rnacentral:rRNA from 1 species
CUUUACUGUAGCUUUGUAUUGGACUUUGAACGGAUCUGUGUAGGAUAGGUGGGAGGCUUUGAAGCAGGGUCGCUAGAUCUUGUGGAGCCAACGUUGAAAUACCACCCUGGUGCGUUUGAGGUUCUAACCUAGGUCCAUUAUCUGGAUCGGGGACAGUGCAUGGUAGGCAGUUUGACUGGGGCGGUCUCCUCCCAAAGCGUAACGGAGGAGUUCGAAGGUACGCUAGGUACGGUCGGACAUCGUGCUAAUAGUGCAAUGGCAUAAGCGUGCUUAACUGCGAGACUGACAAGUCGAGCAGAUGCGAAAGCAGGACAUAGUGAUCCGGUGGUUCUGUAUGGAAGGGCCAUCGCUCAACGGAUAAAAGGUA